CGGACCUUGCGCUAUUGGAUGAGCCUAUGUCGGAUUAGUUAGUUGGUGGGGUAAAGGCCUACCAAGGCGACGAUCCGUAGCUGGUCUUAGAGGAUGAUCAGCCACAUCGGGACUGAGACACGGCCCGAACUCCUACGGGAGGCAGCAGUGGGGAAUAUUGCACAAUGGGCGCAAGCCUGAUGCAGCUAUGCCGCGUGUGUGAAGAAGGCCUUAGGGUUGUAAAGCACUUUCAGUAGUGAGGAAAAGUGUUGUGUUUAAUAGCGCAAUGCUGUGACGUUAGCUACAGAAGAAGGACCGGCAAACUCCGUG
rnacentral:rRNA from 1 species